AUUGAACGCUGGCGGCAUGCUUUACACAUGCAAGUCGAACGGCAGCGCGGGCUUCGGCCUGGCGGCGAGUGGCGCACGGGUGAGUAAUGCAUCGGAACGUGCCCCGUAGUGGGGGAUAGCCCGCCGAAAGCCGGAUUAAUACCGCAUACGACCUGAGCGUGAAAGCGGGGGACCGAAAGGCCUCGCGCUAUUGGAGCGGCCGAUGUCGGAUUAGCUAGUUGGUGGGGUAAAGGCUUACCAAGGCGACGAUCCGUAGCUGGUCUGAGAGGACGACCAGCCACACUGGGACUGAGACACGGCCCAGACUCCUACGGGAGGCAGCAGUGGGGAAUUUUGGACAAUGGGGGCAACCCUGAUCCAGCCAUGCCGCGUGCGGGAAGAAGGCCUUCGGGUUGUAAAGCGCUUUUGUUCGGGAAGAAAUCCUUUGGGCUAAUACCCCGGGGGGAUGACGGUACCGGAAGAAUAAGCACCGGCUAACUACGUG
rnacentral:rRNA from 1 species